rnacentral:tRNA from 1 species
GCGGCCGUAGUCUAGCCUGGUUUAGGACACAGUCCUGGGUGUAAGCCUUCCAAGCCUGUAAUCCCGGGUUCAAAUCCCGGCGGCCGCACCA